rnacentral:rRNA from 4 species
UGACCUCAAAUCAGGCAAGAAUACCCGCUGAACUUAA